UUUAGAUUUUUUUUUUGUAUUCGUUAAUAUGUAUAGACCGGAGAGACUUUAUAGAAUUGUAGUGGUUGAUUUUGAAUUUGGCACGCUCGAUAGAACAACCUAUGCUUUAGUAUCGGCAGCUUUUACUGACCUAGCUCAACGAAAUGCCCAGCACCAGUGUUUAGUAACUAAACUUACAGGUAUACCCAUUCGCCUGGGAAAGAAUAGGAAUACAGACGUCCUACCAUCUGAUUUAACUAAAUUCGAAAUCCAAAUAUUUAGGCACUUUCAAAAUAGGAUUUUUAGAUCCAAACAUAUAGUUCUUGAACCUUUGAUAAACGAACUUAAUCAGGGAAUUAAAAAUCCAAGAAAAACAUUAACCUAUAAUAACAUAUCAUAUCAAACAAGAAAUUCGUCUGUAAUAGUGACAUGGAAUGGUCAAUCAGAUUUAUUAAUUCUUAAAUUGAAGGGACUUAAUAAAGUGUACCUUUCUUUAGGUUGUAGCGACCAAAUCGAUGAAUUUAAUUUUUAUAUAUCCUUGGUAGACUUUAAUGAUAAAACCAAACUACCCAUAUUGAAAACCUUCGUUGCAUACGUCACAACUAAGAGUCCCGGUAGGUUAUUGAAUCUAAGAGAAACUCAUGAUAUAAUUUGUCAAGAGAGCCAUGAUAUUACCUACGUUCACGACCCAAGAACCGAUGUAAUAUUCACAAAAUGUAUUUUCCUCUAUCUCUUAAGAAAAGAAAAUAUUUCUAUGAGACAAUUUAAAAAUAUUAUAAUAACGCAUCUCACCAACUGUCCUUUACCGC